rnacentral:tRNA from 1 species
GCCGGGGUAGCUCAGUUGGUUAGAGCAUAGCACUCAUAAAGCUAAGGUCGUGGGUUCGAUCCCCACCCCCGGCA